GACGAACGCUGGCGGCGUGCCUAAUACAUGCAAGUCGAACGCAGUGGGGACGGGUGAGUAACACGUGGGUAACCUCCCAUCAGAGGGGAUAACACUUGGAAACAGGUGCUAAACCGAUACUGAUGGAUGGACCCGCGGUGCAUUAGCCAGUUGGUGAGGUAACGGCUCACCAAGGCCACGAUGCAUAGCCGACGUGAGAGUGUGUUCUGCCACACUGGGACUGAGACACGGCCCAGACUCCUACGGGAGGCAUCAGUGGGGAAUAUUGCACAAUGGGCGCAAGCCUGAUGCAGCCAUGCCGCGUGUAUGAAGAAGGCCUUCGGGUUGUAAAGUACUUUCAGCGGGGAAGCGUUACCCGCAGAAGAAGCACCGGCUAACUCCGUGCCAGCAGCCGCGGUAAUUC
rnacentral:rRNA from 1 species